rnacentral:misc_RNA from 1 species
CUCUGUGCCGACUCCCGUGAAUACAACAAGUCCACGUGUCACACCUUGCAAGCGUCGCCCUGAGCUUCAACGUAGGACUCGACAACAAUGGCGUUGUGAAUAAUAAAUUUAGCGCGCACCUGUAUCAAGGUUUAUAACCGUUACGAAUUGUCCUAAGCUGUAACAAAGAAGGAAGGAGACCGGUUGAACAUGGCGUGGAGUCUCAUUUGCAUAAAGGCCCAGAAAUAGCUAAAUGUAUGAGCUCUGAAACCUGCAAACCUGUUCGCUGCUGAAACUUUUGAAGUGAAACUUUUAUAUUCUUGAGGAAAGGACAACAAGCAUAAUCUGCAACAAUGUUUAUCGAAACGCUCGAGUUCACUAUUCCAAUAGAUUUGUGUGACCUAUUUUCUACUUUGAAGAAGGGACCAAGAUCCAAUCUUGAAUUCCCGGCGUCAGUGAACUCAUAUGGCACAACGCAAGACGCCAGUAUUCAGGUGGCUUUAAGAUCAAACAAAUUGACGUUCAAAGUGGACGGUGUGUCGUCUGAUGCAAGCAUGAUAUCAAAGAGUGAAUGUAAGACAUUAAAACUCUCUAUAUUUGAUGUGGAUCGCACAUUAAUGCCUCAGGAAAGUUACUAUUCUGAAGCACCUUCACAUUCUGUUUCCAUGUCAUUUCCUGCCAAAAGAUCACGAGAUUUUUCUGCUUCAGUGAAAUCACCUCCUGCAAAGAGCAGUAGGACUUCUUAUUCAGACACCUCGAGGGGAAAUACACCAGUUCAAUUUCAAAAUCAGAAUAAUUCUCGUACCUCAGAACAAUUGCAUUCUAGAACUCCAAGUGACUCUCGUGUCAAUGUGAAACUAGAACCAGAAGAUCCAGAUUUAAUAGAAAUAGAACCAGAUCCAGAACCGGAUGACAUUGUGCCAAAGAAAGAGACUCCAUACAUGCAAAUAGAUUAUUCAUCAGAUGUACCUCAUACGCAAACGUCCCAAGCAGCUCUAGAUCGACUCUCUCAUCCACAAUCAUCACAUUCUCAAUCACCCGGUUCUUCAUCUUCGUCUUUCCAUCAAAACGUUCCACAUGUGCCAGAUUACGCCGAACCCAGUACUAGUCAAGUUCAUCAUGGUGACCAAAGUGCAGAUGACUUUUUAGUGUUUCAAGAACAAGAUGAUAACGACUGUGAUAACGACAAUGAUGCAGACUUUGACAAUGAAGAUUCAAAUCAGCUUAUCCCCAAUGAUGCUAGGUGGCCGUGGCCAAAGCUGGCCACAUACACGUCCCAGUUUCCACCCAAUGUACCGACUAGCCACCCUUUGUCAGUUCAUGACGAGUCAUCCCCAGGCAGCACGACCAAGAAGAAGUCCAUUUGUGACAUCUGUGGCCGGGUGUUCAAUGAUAGCACUGCUAGAAGGGUUCAUAGGCAGGCUGUCCAUGAGAAUAUCGUGCAUGUGUGUGUGUGUGGGAAGACCUAUCGCUACAUGAGAUCUCUGAAGAAACAUCAACAAGCCGGUGUUUGCCCUGGAGAGGCCUCAGAAAAUACACACACUGACAUUAUUUAGGGGGGAAAGGAAAUUGGCUGAUGUUGUUAGAAGGUUUUGGCUAUGCAGGCUACACAGACAAAGGUUUUGGACAGCAUGUGACCAAAACUCAAGCAAAUAUAUACAGCUUUGGGCGAGCUGCAUCUCAAAUUACUUCUGAACACUUGGUAUCUGUCGAUACGGAAGAUCCAUUUUCACGUAGACUGUUGGCUUGUAAUAUAUGUGACAAAACAUUUUCCAACCCGGACACAAGGAGAAUACAUUUUGAAGCUGUUCACAGCAACAUCACUUUUACCUGUGUCUGUGGGAAGGUGUACAAAUACCGCAGUGCACUCAGUAGGCACAAGAAGUUCUGUGAGAAGGUCCUAGCUAAUCACAAGUAUUGACAUUGCUGACAUCCAGGAGAAGGUCAGGCAUUUUUCUCCCCGAUUUGGUUUCGGAAAUAGCACUCCUACCAGUUUUGGUAGUUUCCCCAUAACUGGUGCAUCAUGGCUUAGCAGUAGUGGUGGUCAGCAGGACUUGAAGGGCUUGUUUCAGUGUGACAUUUGUGAGAAGGUUUUCAGAAGCCAAGACAGUCGAAAAGUCCACAAAGAAGCAGUGCAUGAGAACAAGACGUUUGUCUGCAUCUGUGGCAAGGUGUACAGGUCUAGCAGUGCUCUUAGCAGACAUAAGAGGAUAUGUAGUGCUUAUCAGGCACAGUUAUAGUAGUAGACAAUUUGGGAGCCCAUCACCCAUUGGGUCAAAGCUGGAACACUUUGAUGAAGCAGCAUGGACUUGGGGAUCCUGUUCUCUGUGGCAAGGUGUACAGGUCUAGCAGUGCUUCAAGCAGACAUAAGCAGAUGCGUUGUGCUUAUCAGGCUCAGCUAGAUUGGUAGGGAGCCCAUCACCCAUCGGGUCAAAGCUGGAACACCUUCACGAAGCAGCAUGGACUUGGGGAUCCUGUUCUCUGUGGCAAGGUGUACAGGUCUAGCAGUGCUUCAAGCAGACACAAGCAGAUGUGUUGUGCUCUUCAGGCUCAGCUAGAUUUGUAGGGUGACCAUCACCCAUCUGGUCAAAGUUGGAACGCUUUGAAAUACUAUUUCAUGCAAGGAAGCAGCUGGCUUUCGGGAUUCUGUUGACUUGUUUGUGGCAAGGUGUGUAGGUCCAGCAGUGUUCUAAGCAGCCAAGAGGAUGUGUUGUGCUCUUCAGGCUGAGCUAGACUAGUUGCAAAACAUGCAACACUUUGAUGAACUUUGAACUACUGUUUUUGAAAUAUUAUUUGCUGCCAGGAAGCAUCACUAGUAUGUUUGUGGCGAGGUGUGUAGGUCCAGCAAUGCUCUUAGCAGACAAGUGGAUGUGUUGUGCUAAUCCAUCUCAGCUGGACAACCAGGGUCAGUCAACAUGGAACACAUGUAAUAGUACUUUGAAGUACUUUUGGAUGUCAGGGAGAAGCAUGGCCCUUUUCCUUUUGUUGUUGACCAAUAAAUUUUCAGUUUCAUUUUAGCUCAUUUCUACUGCCAAAGAACAUUAGCUGAGAGAACAGUGGUUCUUGAUUCUGAUGGGAGAGGAGACUGGUUUAAGUCAUUGUGUCAAAGGACAGAAUUAUGAACCCUUGGUAUAUUACUCCAGAAAUUUGCUCAUCUAGGGAAUAAAUCCUUUUAUCCACAGUCAUUGCCUGGUGACAGCCGUUAAGUAUAAGCCAAAGUAACCACGAUGUGUGUCUCAAUACAUUUGCUGCAAGCUGAUUAAAACAUUGAAGUUCCAAUAAGCAUGACAUCAGUUAAA